UCUUUCUCCUUCGUACAGACUACAGAUUCAUUAACACUGCUUCAAAAAAAAAACAAAAACAAAAAAAAGAUCGAUUAACACCAUCGAAUUUCUCUUAAAUUCGAACUUCAUUCUUUACAAUCAAGAUGGAUUUUGUUAAUUUAAUAAGUUUGGGUGAUUGACAAUGAACGGAAAUAGAAAUAGUGAGGUACGAAUAGUUGGUCUAACAUGACUUAGAUUGGAAAUUCUCUCAACUUUUUGGUGAAGAAGUUCAGAAGGAGGCAUGACUCGGAGAACUUCUGACUUUUUUACCACAACGAGAAGCUGAUAGACGACAAGUAUGUGCUUCAAGUCUUCAGCAUGCGUGAUGAUCCUCAGGUACAAAUACUGAUGUCGUUCCUCAUAGUAUUUUCUUUAUAUUAGUAAGAUGGGGUGUAUAUGGAAAGGUAGAAGGAGUGGGGCUUAACCUGUUUCUCUAACAUUGUUAAUUUGGUAUCCAAGUGUAGAGGGUUCAUAUUGUGUGAGCAUAUAUUCAGGAAGGUCAUCUACUAGCAUAGGAUUGUACGAAUACGAGAAGUGUGGCGAAAACUGGGAUUUAGAGUGUUUUUCUCUCAUAUAAUUUAUUAAAGUCUCGUUGUACAAAGCAUUGUAUCUGUAUCUGUAAUUUCAGGAACCAUGUACAAUACUGUUCUAAUAUUACGCAGUUUUAAUUUCAGGAAGGAAGUAAUCUUAAGAAAAAGUUAUGAGGUGACUUGAUGUAGUACUAGGCUUUGCUUCUGCUAUAAAACGAAAAACAACAUAUACUCCUUUUUGUACAUUGGAGAUUCAUUUACUGUAACUUGAUGUCUUGAAACUGAAAUUAGUGAGAUGGAAUUAUGGAUUUUAAGUUAUACA